rnacentral:rRNA from 1 species
AGGUAAUGCUGGGCACUCUGGUGAGACUGCCCCGGUUAACGGGGAGGAAGGUGGGACGACGUCAAGUCAUCAUGGCCCUUACGCCUAGGGCUACACACGUACUACAAUGGCGCAUACAAAGGGCAGCGAUACCGCGAGGUGGAGCCAAUCCCAAAAAGUGCGUCCCAGUCCGGAUUGCAGUCUGCAACUCGACUGCAUGAAGUUGGAAUCGCUAGUAAUUCGAGAUCAGCAUGCUCGGGUGAAUGCGUUCCCGGGCCUU